GAUGAACGCUAGCGAUAGGCCUAACACAUGCAAGUCGAGGGGCAUCACAUGAAGUAGCAAUACGGAUGGUGGCGACCGGCGCACGGGUGAGUAACACGUAUGCAACCUGCCUUCAACAAGGGGAUAACCCGUUGAAAGACGGACUAAUACCCUAUAACACAGGGGUCCCGCAUGGGGAUAUUUGUUAAAGGACAACCGGUUGAAGAUGGGCAUGCGUUCCAUUAGCUAGUUGGCGGGGUAAGGGCCCACCAAGGCAACGAUGGAUAGGGGAACUGAGAGGUUUAUCCCCCACACUGGUACUGAGACACGGACCAGACUCCUACGGGAGGCAGCAGUGAGGAAUAUUGGUCAAUGGACGCAAGUCUGAACCAGCCACGUCGCGUGAAGGAAGACGGCCCUACGGGUUGUAAACUUCUUUUGCAAGGGAAUAAAUGGGCCACGUGUGGCCUUUUGCAAGUACCUUGCGAAUAAGGAUCGGCUAACUCUGUGCCAGCAGCCGCGGUAAUUACGC
rnacentral:rRNA from 1 species